AAAGGAAGAUGGAGCAUAAGCUUAUAGACAAUUAAACACAGGAGUGAAAAUAGAACUUCCUUUGUGACAUAGAAAGGAAAGGAGUAUCUCCACUCCAUACUUUUUUUCACCUUCUUGCCAGUCUCUAUGCAAAAGUAGAGCAGCCAUCUUGGACCAUGAGAUGAAAUCUGCAAGGUGAAAAGGACAGAGCAACAAGAUGGAAGAGGACUUGAUCCCCAACACUCUGGAGCUGCUUUUUCAGCCCUGCACCCCUUAUGCUUAGAGCAUAUGGAACAAGAACAGCCUGAUAAAUUCACGUGUGGGCUUCCUGUCUAUUUUAAUGAGUGACCAAGCACAAAAACAAUAUGAAGAGUGGGAGAAUCAACAUAUUAAGUAGAUGCACUCACAUUCAAGAGUCUCUUGUAGGAAAAUCUCAAGUGAUUGAAAUUUCUUAUAUUUAUAACUUCUCUUAAUUUUUCUAGUAACCUGGAAGUACAUUUGCAGACAAAAUUAGAUUAUCAGAAAAUGAAAUGUUCAGACCUAAAAACAAAUGAAUCAAAUUCACAUUUUUACAUAUAGCCAUUGUUUCACAUCUGUAAAUAUGUGGACUUGAUCUGUGUUUUAGCUUGCUAGACAUAGAAGGGCAUGACUAAAAAGUAUAGAAGCCUAAAUAAAGUAUAAUAUCCAGUCUGUAAAUAUUUUCAACUUUAUUUUUAACUGACAAAACUUAUAUAUAUUUAUGGGAUACAAUGUGAUAUUUUGAUGUAUGUUUACAAUGUGGAAUGAUUAAGUCAGGCUAAUUAACAAACGUACAUACUUAUUAUUGUGGUGAAAACCUUCAAAAUCUAUGCUUCAAGUAAUUUCAAAAUAUACGAUGUAUUAUUAUUUAUUAUAGUCACCAUUCUGUGCAAUAAAUUAUUAAAGCUUAUCUUCCUGUCUAACGGAAACUUUCUACCCUUUGAUCAAUAUCUCCUCUUCCCCAUCUACUCUUCCCCUCCCCAGCCUCUGAGAACUACCAUUCUACUGUCUACUUCUAUAAGGUCACCUUUUUUAGAUACCACAUGUAAAUGACAUCAUGCAGUAUUCCUGUGCCUGUUUAUUUCACUUAGCAGUGAAAUAAAAUGAAACCAGAUUCAUCCAUGUUGUCACAAACAACAUGGUUUCCCCAUUUGUAAGGCUGAAUAGAAUUCCUCUGUUCCCCAAUUAACCACUAAGUCUGUGGUAGUAUAUUUCUCCUCUAAAGGGCUAUCCAUUGUAAAUACCCCGACAGAAAACAUGAGAGCAAAAUUCUGGGAGUUACCAGUGUAAAACCAAUGAAAUUAGAAGAAUUGCUAUGUCCUUUCCUAAGACUAAAUAGAAAUGAGAGCAGCUAGUGAGACCCCUAUGAUGGUAAACAGAAAAGAAAAAGUGAAGUGUUGAUAGUGUUAAUUUGCUACAUUUGCAGCCACCUAUUUCCAAAAUAGAUUGAAAUUAAUUUUAUAAUAAGAAAACAUAUUUAAUAAGGUUCUUAAAGAUAUUUACAAUUAAAUAUAUAAUAGAACAAGGCCAAUAAUAAUCAUUGAAAUCUAGGCCGGGUAUAGUGGUUGCUCUCGUACAAAAUUUGGCAGUGGACAUCACAGAAGACAAUAGAAGUGGACACCAUAGCCCUCAACAGGUACAGCCUGAAAUGAUAUUGGAAAUUUUAGUCUAGGAGGCUUGUUUUCUGGUCUCGGCUCCUUCCAUAUCUGCUAUGUAAUUCUAUAAGUUCCCUGCCCUCUUCACAAUUCUUUUAGGAAUCUCCCCACUCCAUGUGUGACUGGAAAGGCUGUCAAAUCAGAGUGGUAGAAAAGUGGCUCCGACUGAGCCAUAAGAGUCUUUGUGGGUCCUUUCUGGCCUUGGAGGGAAGCAGAAAAACUCCUUCUGAUUUAGGUUUGUGAAUGAUAGUGUUUCUGACAAUCAUCUUUCCUGCAAAUGAAGGAAACCUGUUUGAGGCAGGAGAUAAUGAGGUAAAAGGAAAAGUGAAGCCGAGUAAAGUGAUAGAGAGAAAAAGAGAGAGAGAGAAUUACAUGACCACCCUGAUUUAGCUGUGCCUAAAGCUGAACUAUCCUUAGACUUUUUAGCUAUGAGAGCCAAUACAUGUUCCCUUUUAUAUUCAGCUUAUUUUACUUGGAUUUCUAUGAUUUGAAACUAAAGCAUCAUAACUAUAAAACCCUUGUGCUUCACAU
rnacentral:lncRNA from 10 species